UCCCUAAAAGACCGUCCCAUUCGGAUUGCAGGCUGCAACCCGCCUGCAUGAAGUUGGAAUCGCUAGUAAUCGCGGAUCAGCAUGCCGCGGUGAAUACGCUCCCGGGCCUUGUACACACCGCCCGUCACACCAUGAGAGUCGGGAACACCCGAAGUCCGUAGCCUAACAGCAAUGGGGCGCGGCCGAAGGUGGGUUCGAUAAUUGGGGUGAAGUCGUAACAAGGUAAC
rnacentral:rRNA from 1 species